GUCACGCCCCGAACCCGAACUUAGGCCCGGGACGCGCCAGACGCCGCACACUCGCACGGCGGACCGCACGGGCGUGCAAGGCUGAAUAAUCAGACACUCAAAUCACAACAUCAGAUCACAAUAUCAAUACUAAAAAUCUAUCAUUUAUGAUAAUCAAAUCAAUAAUUCAAUUUCAAAUGUCUCAAAUGAAGUUGGUAACAUUUAUUUACAAGAUCAAUUACUUAUGACAAAAUGAAUCUAAAUCUAUCUAUGUCCAAUGUCAUAAGUCCUCUCCUCCCGAAUCCCCUAUCAAGCAUCUCCUGCAAUUAUGUACAAAAACAGGUAUGAGCUACAACAGCUCAGUAGGUAACAACAUGCAUAAAGUCACGAUAACAUGUAUUAAAGCAUAUG
rnacentral:lncRNA from 1 species